rnacentral:rRNA from 1 species
GUGGGGAAUCUUGCGCAAUGGGCGAAAGCCUGACGCAGCCAUGCCGCGUGAAUGAUGAAGGACUUAGGAUUGUAAAAUUCUUUCACCGGGGACGAUAAUAACGGUACCCGGAGAAGAAGCUCCGGCUAACUUCGUGCCAGCAGCCGCGGUAAUACGAAGGGGGCUAGCGUUGCUCGGAAUUACUGGGCGUAAAGGGCGCGUAGGCGGACAGCUUAGACAGAGGUGAAAGCCCAGGGCUCAACCUUGGAAUUGCCUUUGAUACUGGCUGUCUUGAGUACGGGAGAGGUGAGUGGAACUCCGAGUGUAGAGGUUAAAUUCGUAGAUAUUCGGAAGAACACCAGUGGCGAAGGCGACUCACUGGCCCGUUACUGACGCUGAGGCGCGAAAGCGUGGGGAGCAAACAGGAUUAGAUACCCCAGUAGUCC